AGCCCAAUUGUUUCUUUUUUGACAUUCUGUAGGGAUGGGAGGGUUUUAUAAUUCUAAUGAUGUUCCAGCUAGGAGAAGGCAAACUCACAAACAUAAGCCAGCUUCCGAAGAGAUUGCAGAUCAUGAGCUUGCAACGCUAAUUGGUUAGCGAAUUUUUAUCUUUGAGGUUCACCAGGACCGCGUUGCAGGGUGCUGCUGCUUCACGGGGAAGUUCAUCAACUUCCACGGUGUAGGUUGUGUGUUGCUGCUGAUGUUCCUCUCCUCUGCAGCCAACUCCAUCGAAGACUAUUUAUGCCAGGUUCAUACUAUUGAAUAGUGACAAGAAUGAUUAUGAGAAAUCAGGUGUAUAAAGGAC